rnacentral:rRNA from 1 species
AUGAACGCUGGCGGCGUGCCUAAUACAUGCAAGUCGCGCGAACAGACGAGGAGCUUGCUCCUCUGACGUUAGCGGCGGACGGGUGAGUAACACGUGGAUAACCUACCUAUAAGACUGGGAUAACUUCGGGAAACCGGAGCUAAUACCGGAUAAUAUAUUGAACCGCAUGGUUCAAUAGUGAAAGACGGUUUUGCUGUCACUUAUAGAUGGAUCCGCGCCGCAUUAGCUAGUUGGUAAGGUAACGGCUUACCAAGGCGACGAUGCGUAGCCGACCUGAGAGGGUGAUCGGCCACACUGGAACUGAGACACGGUCCAGACUCCUACGGGAGGCAGCAGUAGGGAAUCUUCCGCAAUGGGCGAAAGCCUGACGGAGCAACGCCGCGUUAGUGAUGAAGGUCUUCGGAUCGUAAAACUCUGUUAUUAGGGAAGAACAAAUGUGUAAGUAACUAUGCACGUCUUGACGGUACCUAAUCAGAAAGCCACGGCUAACUACGUG